rnacentral:lncRNA from 1 species
CGACAUCCCGCCCCUGCUUGCGUACAUGGGAAACUGACCGGUCAUAAAUAAACUUUGAGGGGCGUCGACAGCAACAACCAAGCGUUGAUGCCGAUGCUGUAGAGAGUGUUAGCUGUUCCUGCAGGAGGCGGAGGACAGUGUGCGGCGAUCGAAUUAACCUGAAACAUGACCUUGCAGAACCUAGGGACAGAGUCUCCGCGCCUCCGAAUUCAGCUUCCACGCCACUCUGAAGCCAUCUUUGAUGGGCAGGUACCUGGUAAGCGCAAAAACUAGUGUGCCUCACGCAGGCCGCGGAGCCGCAUAGGUAUGGAAAAU